CCUACGGGAGGCAGCAGUGGGGAAUAUUGGUCAAUGGCCGAAAGCCUGACCCAGCAACGCCGCGUGAAGGAAGAAGGCUCUCGGGUUUUAAACUUCUUUUAAGAGGGAAGAGCAGAACACGGUACCUCUUGAAUAAGCCACGGCUAACUACGGGCCAGCAGCCGCGGUCAUACGUAGGUGGCAAGAGUUGUCCGGAUUUACUGGGUGUAAAGGGCGUGCAGGCAGGAAGACAAGUCAGAUGUGAAAUCCAGGGGCUCAACCGCGGAACUGCAGUUGAAACUGUUUUUCUUGAGUGCCGGAGAGGUACUCGGAAUGCCUGGUGUAGCGGUGAAAUGCGUAGAUAUAAGGAAGAACACCAGUGGCGAAGGCGGAUGACUGGCCGGCAACUGACGGUGAGGCGCGAAAGCGUGGGGAGCGAACAGGAUUAGAUACCCUGGUAGUC
rnacentral:rRNA from 1 species